GUGGUGUAACCGUGUUUAACUACCAGGGGUUUUAUGACACUAUGUCAACAUAGGUCAGCUGAUAGCCAUUGUGUAUAGGUAAUCGGUAGUCACCCUGGCGCCUCAACAAAAUAUUAUAGAAUACUCUGUAGCCAAAGUAAUGCCACAAAGUAAAAAUGUUUAUUCUAGUCAUGAAAAUGUAAAUACAAGUUGGUGUAAUAAAAUGUAUUUUUAAUUCAAAGGAUUGUUUUUGUAUAAGUUGUAAAUGAAAUACAGAGGAUGGAACCUCUACACAAAUGAGUAAAAUAUACAGAAAGUCUGUACAGUAUUUGAAUUUUAGUAUUUGUGAAUUACAAUUAACAACACACAAAGAGAGACAACUCUAGUUUAAUUUUUAACAUAUUUUAGAAAAUACGUCAACAACUCUUGAUCGUUGUUCUUCGUCUCAUUGUUAUUCGUUCAGUAUUGAUAUAGGGUCUUCUUAUAUGAGUAUUGCAAUUAAUAGAUUAUUAAAAUUUUAUAUUUUCAAUAAUCUGGUUUAAUUCAAUCGAAUAUUUGUGUGGGUGCGUGGGUGUUACAGUCUGUAGCUCAUUGCCAUAUUCGGCAUGGCCAUAGAUGGCGCUCGCAGCUUGAAUCAGAUUUUUGGAAUUUCCGUAUCAGCUUGAAUUAGAAUUUUGGAAUUCCCGUAUCGGGCACUUGUUAAUUUGCUGUCGACUUGAAAGCAGGUGUUUCACAAAUAAAGUUAAACUAUUUAAAACCCGCCCACCCUCCCUAUGAGAAUAGUUGCUGCUGUUUUUGUUUUAUAUUUUCAGGCACUUGUUUCCUGUAUUUGAUUGGAAUAUUAUGGUUACCAGUAUCCAGGCUGACCUUCAUAGUAUUGGACCAAUACAGGAUAAUUUCGAAUAAACUUGCGUUUCUAUGAAUUGGACAUUUCAGUUAUUCAGCACUUUUUAACAUAUUAUGGACUAUUGUGAUUUAAGCAUCCAGAAUUAAUUUUAGUUUUUAGUAAUUAACAAUUUUAAUAAUUGGAAAGAAAACAAGACACUUUUUAGAAAUUAAUCAUCUUCUACUAUCCUUAGGCGCAGAGUCAAUUUUGAAUGGGGGGAGGUCCAGGGAGACUGGUAGUGAUUGGGGGAUUAUUUCACUCGGCCCUUGCUCUGGGCCUGACAAGUUCUAAAACUUGCAGGUUUGGAAAAUGUGGUUAGUGGUAACGGUGGGGUCUACAGAUGGGUGACUCUGGACCUCCUCCACCUCAUCUUAUAGAGGGGAGGCCUAACACUGCCAACAGGUGGGGCACUAAUAACUGGAGCAUUGGUAAUACGAGUGUUUUCCCCGGUCACUCCCCAUGGUAGGUGGUGGUGUAACCGUGUUUAACUACCAGAGGUUUUAUGACACUAUGUCAACAUAGGUCAGCUGAUAGCCAUUGUGUAUAGGUAAUCGGUAGUCACCCUGGCGCCUCAACAAAAUAUUAUAGAAUACUCUGUAGCCAAAGUAAUGCCACAAAGUAAAAAUGUUUAUUCUAGUCAUGAAAAUGUAAAUACAAGUUGGUGUAAUAAAAUGUAUUUUUAAUUCAAAGGAUUGUUUUUGUAUAAGUUGUAAAUGAAAUACAGAGGAUGGAACCUCUACACAAAUGAGUAAAAUAUACAGAAAGUCUGUACAGUAUUUGAAUUUUAGUAUUUGUGAAUUACAAUUAACAACACACAAAGAGAGAC
rnacentral:lncRNA from 1 species